AACGAACGCUGGCGGCAUGCCUAACACAUGCAAGUCGAACGAGACCUUCGGGUCUAGUGGCGCACGGGUGCGUAACGCGUGGGAACCUGCCCUUAGGUUCGGAAUAACUCCCCGAAAGGGGUGCUAAUACCGGUUAAUGUCUUCGGACCAAAGAUUUAUCGCCUUUGGAUGGGCCCGCGUUGGAUUAGCUAGUUGGUAGGGUAAAAGCCUACCAAGGCGACGAUCCAUAGCUGGUCUGAGAGGAUGAUCAGCCACACUGGGACUGAGGCACGGCCCAGACUCCGACGGAAGGCAGCAGUGGGGAAUAUUGGACAAUGGGCGAAAGCCUGAUCCAGCAAUGCCGCGUGAGUGAUGAAGGCCUUAGGGUUGUAAAGCUCUUUUACCCGGGAUGAUAAUGACAGUACCGGGAGAAUAAGCACCGGCUAACUCCGUG
rnacentral:rRNA from 1 species